rnacentral:rRNA from 1 species
AGUGAACGCUGGCGGUAGGCCUAACACAUGCAAGUCGAACGGCAGCACAGUAAGAGCUUGCUCUUACGGGUGGCGAGUGGCGGACGGGUGAGGAAUACAUCGGAAUCUGCUUUUUCGUGGGGGAUAACGUAGGGAAACUUACGCUAAUACCGCAUACGACCUACGGGUGAAAGCAGGGGAUCUUCGGACCUUGCGCGAUUGAAUGAGCCGAUGUCGGAUUAGCUAGUUGGCGGGGUAAAGGCCCACCAAGGCGACGAUCCGUAGCUGGUCUGAGAGGAUGAUCAGCCACACUGGAACUGAGACACGGUCCAGACUCCUACGGGAGGCAGCAGUGGGGAAUAUUGGACAAUGGGCGCAAGCCUGAUCCAGCCAUACCGCGUGGAUGAAGAAGGCCUUCGGGUUGUAAAGCCCUUUUGUUGGGAAAGAAAAGCAGCAGGUUAAUACCCCGCUGUUCUGACGGUACCCAAAGAAUAAGCACCGGCUAACUUCGUG